rnacentral:rRNA from 1 species
UACGAAGGGGGCUAGCGUUGUUCGGAAUUACUGGGCGGAAAGCGCGCGCAGGUGGUCUUUCAAGUCAGUGGUGAAAGCCCGGAGCUCAACUCCGGAAAUGCCAUUGAAACUGUGAGACUUGAGGAUGAGAGAGGUGAGUGGAAUUCCCAGUGUAGAGGUGAAAUUCGUAGAUAUUGGGAAGAACACCGGUGGCGAAGGCGGCUCACUGGCUCAUAUCUGACGCUCAGGCGCGACAGCGUGGGGAGCAAACAGG